rnacentral:rRNA from 1 species
ACAACCUCAAUUUAAGUGAGAUUACCCGCUGAACUUAAGCAUAUCAGUAAGCGGAGGAAAAGAAACUAACUAGGAUUUCCUUAGUAACGGCGAGUGAAA